GCCGAGCCAAGUAGCGAUGGCUUGUCACCCGGGCGGGGGGCAUUAAGGUGGUGUGGAUGCCUCGUGUGGCGCUUGGGCCUGGACUUGCGGUUGCUGUCUGCGGCCCGCCCGUUCCAAGUUGCGUAGUGGGUUGUGGGCGCCUUGGCGAAGGCCUCGGCGUCUCAACACCUAGAGUGGUGGGCAAUGCGUUAGGCUGGCCUCACAGAGCAGCGAAUACCACCCGCUUCCAACGGUGGGAGGAUAACGGGCCGCUGCUCCGUAGGCCCGAUUAGGCCCAUGCGCCCCCUUUGGCAGACCACCAUCUUU
rnacentral:SRP_RNA from 1 species